CAAUUCUCAGCCUCACCCAAAAAUCCCCACGCAUAUAAUGCUCAGACCCCUCGCCUAGGGCUUCCUAGUCCCUCCACAGCCGCCGCCGCCUCUCCUUCCGCGCCCUCGCCUCCGAAGCCGCCGCCGCGACACCACUUCGCCGCCAUGGGUAAGGUGCACGGAUCGCUUGCUCGUGCCGGGAAGGUGCGCGGCCAGACGCCCAAGGUGGCGAAGCAGGAUAAGAAGAAAAGGCCGCGUGGCCGCGCGCACAAGAGGAUGCAGUACAACCGCCGCUUCGUCACCGCCGUCGUGGGAUUUGGCAAGAAGCGCGGGCCCAACUCCUCCGAGAAGUAGGGAGCGCGCGGCCCCUGCCUCGUCGGGUUCCUCCUCUCCGUUCUUGAUAUGCCUGUAGCUUCGUGUUAAGGUGGCGUGAAUCUUAGUCGAAAUUUGGCACCACAGUUUCUUGGAUAAUAUGAUGAGUCCUAUCCAGUGUCUGACUGGAGCGCUGCAAGCAUCCUGUUCCAACUAGGGAAUACUUGAUUUAUGCACAUGUUCUGCACCUGGUUGCAGUACACCUGAAACCGAGCCUGCUAUUGCGUUGAAUUGUUGGAUUUGUGAGUUGUAGUUCUAUGGAGUAAAAAUCGCUCAUUGCCGUUAACCAGUUUCAAAUGUAGCUGUUACUGUUAUGAUA